UAUGAGUAAUAACCAGGUGUGAA
rnacentral:siRNA from 1 species